UGAAGAGUUCUCUACUUGCUGGAAGCACCAGGGAGGAAAGAGUCAUUUAUGUAAUGAUGAAAGUUCUAGAUUUCUCAUGGGAAAGUGGUUGAUGUCUUUGAUAACUUUCUCGUGGAUGCGGACGUUGUAAGACGCAGACUUCUGAGGAAAACAACAUCCUUCAAUUCAGAGAUCACUGUUUACCUGAGGCUGGCGUUUAGCAUGGCCAUUGAACAUCCUGAGGGGUGGAAGCCUGGCCUGGACAAGCCUCAGGCUGUUGAGACAGUCUGAUGGGAUGUCCCUACCAUCUAAUCACUUCACCAUCCCUUCGCCAUCCUUUCUUGUUGCUUAAAGUAAGCCGAAAGCCAAGGCGAGGAACAGCCAGAACAGAAUAAUCUUGUUCCACUCCAACAAGAUGACCUUGUUCCUGCUCUGAAAUGUCUGGAAUGCUUGGUGGGAAUGAAGCAGCUGGUCAUUAGGCAAUAAUGCCUCUAUCACAUAAGAGAGGAACCCUUUGUGGACCGAUUUCCAUGCAACACUUGGGGGCAUCUCAGCGGAGUUAAGAAUGUAAGAGCGGCGCAACUACAAU